rnacentral:rRNA from 1 species
GCCAAACAGCUAGCUCAACCACCUAAUAACUAAACAAUGUAUAUAAAACAAAAUAAGCCUAACACCAAAAAUUAAACCAUUCUUUUACCUUAGUAUGGGAGACAGAAAAGGUCACACCUGGAGCAAUAGAGAUAGUACCGCAAGGGAAAGCUGAAAGAGAAAUGAAAUAACUUAUAUAAGCACAAAAAAGCAAAGAUUAAAUCUUGUACCUUUCGCAUCAUGAUUUAGCCAGUAUACCCAAGCAAAGAGACCUUUAGUUUGAAACCCCGAAACCAGAUGAGCUACCCCGAGACAGCCUAUUAAGGGCCAACCCGUCUCUGUGGCAAAAGAGUGGGAAGAGCUCCGGGUAGAGGUGAUAAAUCUACCGAACCUGGUGAUAGCUGGUUGCCUAAGAAGUGAAUAGAAGUUCAGCCUCGUACUCCCCUGAUCAAAGAAUAUAGAGAAGAUGCUAAAGGGCAAUACACGAGAGUUAGUUGAAGGGGGUACAGCCCCUUUAACAAAGGACACAACCUUCCCAGGAGGAUAAAGAUCAUAAUACAUAAAACAUCCUGUUCUAGUGGGCCUAAAAGCAGCCACCUAAACAGAAAGCGUUAAAGCUCAGACAGAAGCGAGUUUAUUAUUCCGACAAAAAAUCUUACUCCCCUUAAUACUAUUAGGCCAGCCCAUGCUCACAUGGGAGAGACUAUGCUAAAAUGAGUAACAAGAAGGCCUGCCCUUCUCCAAGCACAGCUGUAAGCCAAAUCGGACCAACCAUUGGCAAUUAACGAACUCAACCCAAGAGAGCAAUGUGGAUUGCAACAAAACCAAGAAGAACCCACAUAAGUCCAUCGUUACCCCCACACUGGCGUGCUAUUAAAGGAAAGACUAAAAGAAGGGGAAGGAACUCGGCAAACACAAGCCUCGCCUGUUUACCAAAAACAUCGCCUCCUGCAACGAAACCAAGUAUAGGAGGUCCAGCCUGCCCAGUGACGAUAAGUUUAACGGCCGCGGUAUUUUGACCGUGCAAAGGUAGCGUAAUCACUCGUCUCUUAAAUGGAGACCUGUAUGAAUGGCCAAACGAGGGCUUAACUGUCUCCCCCUUCCAGUCAGUGAAAUUGAUCUAUCCGUGCAGAAGCGGG